ACCGGACGCGCCCGCUUCUCGCUGGAGUGCGCACCGAGCGGCAGUGACUUCGCCGCUGCUGUAGUUCCCCGGCUGGAUGCGGUGACUGGUGCCAGUGCUCAGGCGCCCGCUGCCCUUGACCUCCCGCCCCGCGAGCCCUAACUCAGCGCAGGAGGACCGGCUGCCGCCGCCGCCGCCGCCAGGUAGACCAGGCCUGGCUGGGUUAGGCCAGAAGGGUGUCCCUGGCGCAGGUCUCCCGCGGAGGGCAGAACUAGAACCAGGUUCCCGGCCGUUUCCGACCACACGGAUGGGGCGGACCCAUAUCCACACAACUUAAAGAUCUGCUGUCGAGUGAAUGGGGAAGUGGUCCAGAGCAGCAACACCAACCAGAUGGUAUUCAAGACAGAGGACCUGAUAGCCUGGGUGUCCCAGUUUGUUACCUUUUACCCAGGGGAUGUCAUCCUGACUGGGACCCCCCCACCUCCACCCAGGUGUCGGUGUAUUCAGGAAACCUCCUGUCUUUCUCAAGGUCUCUGAAGGUCCAGACAGCACUGAUGGCGAGCUUUGGGUCCGCACACUCUGGAAAGAAGAGAGAAGUGAAGGCUCUAGGUAGGGAGAACAGAGAGCCACUGGGCACAGGCUUCUCUCCUCUUGUUUAAAGAAGCCCAGGGAGGGAUAGAGCUCUGACUGGACAGAAGACUGUACUCUGCAGCCUGCCUUCCUAGAGUUGGGUUGUCACUGUCCUGCAGGGGGCAGCAGCCACCAGCAAACACCACUGCCUGCAGGAGCCUGGGCUGACUGGUUGGGACUCACCGAAGAUCCCUUCUUCCUGGGCGGUGGCCUGCAGGAACUGGAACAGCUGCUCUGUGUAGCCCAACUCUGCAGAAGAGAGAAGACCUAGACCUGGCACCCAGCACAGACACAGCCUGCCUCGAGGACUGCAAGGGAACAAGGGCCUCACCAGUAUCGGGCAGCUGGCCCUGGCGGAGGAAGGCGGCAGCCUGUGCAAAGGCCUUGAGCAGCGGGCUGAGCAGGCGGCAGAGGAAAAGAAAGAAAUCUGGGCAGUGUGACUGCUGGCUGAGCUGGAGGGGACAGGCCGGGGUGAGUGCAGCUCCCCACCGCCUCCCUACCACCUCCCUCCAGGGGCAGCUUUUUGAAACACACCCUGAAGUACCGGCCGUCAGCCUCUCCGAAGUCAUCACUGUCACUAUCAGUAAAGUCCCCACUCGGUUUCCACAGCA
rnacentral:lncRNA from 1 species